CCUACGGGAGGCAGCAGUGAGGAAUAUUGGUCAAUGGACGAGAGUCUGAACCAGCCAAGUAGCGUGAAGGAUGACUGCCCUAUGGGUUGUAAACUUCUUUUAUAUGGGAAUAAAAUGUUCCACGUGUGGGAUUUUGUAUGUACCAUAUGAAUAAGGAUCGGCUAACUCCGUGCCAGCAGCCGCGGUAAUACGGAGGAUCCGAGCGUUGUCCGGAUUUAUUGGGUUUAAAGGGAGCGUAGGUGGAUUGUUAAGUCAGUUGUGAAAGUUUGCGGCGCAACCGUAAAAUUGCAGUUGAAACUGGCAGUCUGGAGUACAGUAGAGGUGGGCGGAAUUCGUGGUGUAGCGGUGAAAUGCUUGGAUAUCACGAAGAACUCCGAUUGCGAAGGCAGCUCACUGGACUGCAACUGACACUGAGGCGCGAAAGUGUGGGUAUCAAACAGGAUUAGAUACCCCAGUAGUC
rnacentral:rRNA from 1 species